rnacentral:rRNA from 1 species
UACGAGGGGGGCGAGCGUUGUUCGGAAUUAUUGGGCGUAAAGGGCGCGUAGGCGGUCGGAUAAGUCUUGUGUGAAAUCUUCGGGCUCAACUCGAAGUCUGCACAGGAAACUAUCUGGCUUGAGUGUGGGAGAGGUGAGUGGAAUUCCUGGUGUAGCGGUGAAAUGCGCAGAUAUCAGGAGGAACACCGGUGGCGAAGGCGGGUCUCUGGGCCGAUACUGACGCUGAGGAGCGAAAGCGUGGGGAGCGAGCAGG